GACGAAGGGGGGCUAGCGUUGUUCGGAAUUACUGGGCGUAAAGCGCGUGUAGGCGGUUGUCCAAGUUGGAUGUGAAAGCCUUGAGCUUAACUCAAGAAAUGCAUUCAGGACUGGAUGACUAGAGGACCGGAGAGGAUAGUGGAAUUCCCAGUGUAGUGGUGAAAUACGUAGAGAUUGGGAAGAACACCAGUGGCGAAGGCGGCUAUCUGGACGGUUUCUGACGCUAAGACGCGAAAGCGUGGGGAGCAAACAGG
rnacentral:rRNA from 1 species